UACGUAGGGUGCGAGCGUUAAUCGGAAUUACUGGGCGUAAAGCGUGCGCAGGCGGUUGUGCAAGACCGAUGUGAAAAUCCCCGGGCUUAACCUAGGGAAUGGCAUUGGUGACUGCACGGCUAGAGUGUGUCAGAGGGGGGUAGAAUUCCACGUGUAGCAGUGAAAUGCGUAGAUAUGUGGAGGAAUACCGAUGGCGAAGGCAGCCCCCUGGGAUAACGACUGACGCUCAUGCACGAAAGCG
rnacentral:rRNA from 1 species